rnacentral:tRNA from 1 species
CAGAAAAUAGUUUAGUUAAAAAUGUUAGUUUUGGAAACUGAUGAUGAGAGAAACUUCUCUUUUCUGA